UAUUCGCGCGUCUGUGGAUUGGCUAUGUCGCUCUCCUACCGUUGGAUCUUCAUUUUGAGCCUCCAUCUUCACCAUCCGAAUGAGCUCCCGUAGCUGAGAUUGGGCGAGUUGCUCGUUUUCCUUCAAUGCAUUAAUUUCGGCCGUUCGAUCACCUUUUUCGGCUUUCAUCUUCGCCGUCCGAAUGCUAUUGCCUUUCUAAUCUUCCUUCCGUGAGAUGCAUGUAUCUGCCACGUCAAUUUUGGCGGAUGUAUUCAAUGGUAGCAGCUUUCAUCAACCCCCAGUCUGCAACUCGAAAUCCAUCUUUUGUUGUUGCAUUCCCUGCUAGCAGCUUGCAACGUUCGUAGAGAGUUGGUCAGAGCUGCACCUUUCGGGGGAAUGAACUACGCAGUGAGGGAAGAUUGAAAGAGAACUCAAACAAAUAUUUGCUUCUAAGUCCAGUUCUCAAUUCGAUUUCUGUCUUCAAGAAUCAGGUGCAAAUCGUCUUCGUUGUCGCCCUUUUGUAUACGUCGAUUUGCUCCCGCGGCUUCUCAUCUCGACCGUUGAAGUUGGUGCAUGUAUCCACGCAGCAAUUUACGUCCAUCACUCACCUCUGUAUAUUUUCGUUCUUUACUUUUCUCCCUCUUUGGUUGACUUUUGUUGCUGUUGUGUAAACCCUGGUGAUUGGGAUCUGUCCCUGAAGAUUUGUCUUCGAUGUUUCUUUUGCUCUUCUUCUUCACUCUUUGACAGGUCUUUCGCUUAGUUUUGCUCAGCUGCCUUGGGUAAUAUCUGCUAUCUUCUAAGCUCGAUAGGGGUUACUGCUUUAUUGGUUGUCACUUGCUGGUUUUACCUUUCGUUUCUCAUUUGAUGAGUCUGGAAUAAUUGUUGUUUGGGACCUUCUAACUUUGGUAUGACUCUAUUUCUUUCAUCUUCUAUUUUUUCUCUCUGUAUCUCAUUUCAUGUGGCCGAAGUAGACGUCAAUUUUUGGACGAAUAAAUGUGAAGCUAGGUUGGGGUGGUCACUUGGUGGCUAGAUAUAGGUUUGCACAGUUAUUGCUUUUGUGAGGUGAAUGGCCAAUCACAGUUAUUGCUUAUGUGUAAGAAAUCUUGAUGAUGAUGAGUUGGAUAGUCAUUUGGAGCAUAUUCAAAAUCUAUGUUACAGAAAAAUGAAGAAAACAUUCAGGGAAUCAAAGGUCAAAACACAAAAGCAAUACUACGCAUGAAAAAAAUAAUCACUUGCAAGACCUAUGGAUCAUAUAUCACAAGAUAUAUUCUCCUAUGUCGAGCCUCACUUGCAGUCAUGGUUCAGAAGAUAUGGAGAGAAUUUUUCUUAUGUGGUUUAGUCCUCAAACAUGCUCGGUGAUUUGGAGCCAGAGCUGAUGAAAGAGAUACUGAACAAUAAAGACAGAACUUAUUCAAAAAUUACUCCAGAUUAUAUAAAUAAGUUAGUAGGAGAUGGCCUUGAUUCAUCCAUUGGACCAAAAUGUUCUAAGAUGAGGAAAAACCACACUUUCCAUGCAGAGAGCUUGAAAAAUAUGAUACCAGCGAUGAUUGUUAGUACGGAAAUGAUGCUUGAGAGAUGGAAAAAUUAUGAUCAACGUCGACUACAAAUCUACGAGAAACGAAUCAUUUUAUGGUACUUCUGGCAUGAUGAGACCUUAGAAUGGUCUUCUUUUCAUUGUAUUUGUAAUACGGGUAUAUUUCUUUCAUAUCCGUGUUCAUAUUUUCUUCAAAUAUUAGUGCAUCUGUACUACGAACUUCAAAUAGGAGAAAUAGGAGCUCUGUUAUGUUA